AAGAACAAAGGCUACCGUUAAUGUUACAUGGCAUGUCGUGGAUAAAGAGAGUGGAAUUCGUCGUUGUGAGUGUGGGGCUGGAUUUUUUCCGUUCUCAGCAUCCACAGUAUCUUUAAGAAAGAGCGACACGGCCACGGGUUGUGUCUUUUCAAAUCUUGAGAUUCGACAUGGAACACGAUUGUUCAUCACUACAGAAUGUACUAAUGGUGUUGGACUUCGAGAAACAAAAACACACGGUCCCAUAAUAAUAUCUAUCAAU